UACGUAGGGUCCGAGCGUUUGUCCGGAAUUACUGGGCGUAAAGAGCUCGUAGGUGGUUUGUCGCGUUGUUCGUGAAAACUCACAGCUCAACUGUGGGCGUGCGGGCGAUACGGGCAGACUGGAGUACUGCAGGGGGAGACUGGAAUUCCUGGUGUAGCGGUGGAAUGCGCAGAUAUCAGGAGGAACACCGGUGGCGAAGGCGGGUCUCUGGGCAGUAACUGACGCUGAGGAGCGAAAGCGUGGGGGAGCAAACAGG
rnacentral:rRNA from 1 species